UACGUAGGGGGCGAGCGUUGUCCGGAUUCAUUGGGCGUAAAGAGCGCGUAGGCGGCUUGGCAAGUCGGAUGUGAAAACUCCAGGCUCAACCUGGAGCCGCCAUUCGAUACUGCUAUGGCUAGAGUCCGGUAGGGGAGUGUGGAAUUCCCGGUGUAGCGGUGAAAUGCGCAGAUAUCGGGAGGAACACCGAUGGCGAAGGCAGCACUCUGGGCCGGCACUGACGCUGAGGAGCGAAAGCGUGGGGAGCGAACAGG
rnacentral:rRNA from 1 species